rnacentral:rRNA from 1 species
AACGAACGCUGGCGGCAGGCUUAACACAUGCAAGUCGAGCGCCCCGCAAGGGGAGCGGCAGACGGGUGAGUAACGCGUGGGAAUCUACCCAUCUCUACGGAAUAACGCAUGGAAACGUGUGCUAAUACCGGAUACGUCCUUCGGGAGAAAGAUUUAUCGGAGAUGGAUGAGCCCGCGUUGGAUUAGCUAGUUGGUGGGGUAAAGGCCUACCAAGGCGACGAUCCAUAGCUGGUCUGAGAGGAUGAUCAGCCACACUGGGACUGAGACACGGCCCAGACUCCUACGGGAGGCAGCAGUGGGGAAUAUUGGACAAUGGGCGCAAGCCUGAUCCAGCCAUGCCACGUGAGUGAUGAAGGCCCUAGGGUUGUAAAGCUCUUUCACCGGUGAAGAUAAUGACGGUAACCGGAGAAGAAGCCCCGGCUAACUUCGUGCCAGCCGCCGCAGUAAUAC